CAGCUUUUGCACGGUGG
rnacentral:rRNA from 1 species